rnacentral:rRNA from 1 species
AAUCAACGCUGGCGGCGUGCCUCAGACAUGCAAGUCGAACGAUUAAAGCUCUCUUCGGAGAGUGUAUAGAGUGGCGCACGGGUGAGUAACACGUAAGUAAUCUACCUUUGAGUGGGGAAUAACGUCCGGAAACGGACGCUAAUACCACAUAAUGCAGCGGCAUCGCAAGAUGACAGUUGUUAAAGAUUUAUCGCUUGAAGAGGAGCUUGCGGCAGAUUAGCUAGUUGGUAAGGUAAUGGCUUACCAAGGCUACGAUCUGUAACCGGUCUAAGAGGACGGUCGGUCACACUGACACUGAAUAACGGGUCAGACUCCUACGGGAGGCAGCAGUCGGGAAUUUUGGGCAAUGGGCGAAAGCCUGACCCAGCAACGCCGCGUGAAGGAUGAAGUAUUUCGGUAUGUAAACUUCGAAAGAAUAGGAAGAAUAAAUGACGGUACUAUUUAUAAGCUCCGGCUAACUACGUG